rnacentral:lncRNA from 1 species
UCCAUUGAAGUUGCUAAUAUUGAUUGUGUGCUUUGCUGACAUUACAUAAUUAAUUAAUAUUGUCUACAAAACCUACAUUCAUUGAAUUUGAAGAUUAAUGACUUAUAACACUUCCUCCAAUGUAUAUGAUAUCUGCAAUUUCUCUUUGCUAUAGGAGGAUCUGAAGAACACAACGAUCAAAAUGGCAGAACAGAGUAAGGUCCUAAACACGUCUGGUGCGGAGAAACAGACCAAAAGAGAAUUGUUUGAUGCACUUAGGCAGGAACUUGAGUGAGUCUUGUAGAUCCUUCAUUGUUCUUAACAGCUAACGCUUGAUGUUUCUUAGACCAUUUCAUGUAUUUCUUUCAUUUUUUAUCCUCCCAGCCUGAGGAGAAUUUUUUGAUGCACUUAGGCAGGAACUUGAGUGAGUCUUGUUGAUCCUUCAUUGUUUUUAACGGCUAAAGUUCAAUAAUGCUUUAGAUGGUUUCGUGUAUUUCUUUCAUGUUCUUGCCCUCCCAGCCGAAAGAAAAUUGUUUGAUGCCCUUAGGCAGGAACCUGUUGUUUGUAACAGCUAAAGUUCAAUAAUGCUCUAGAUGGUUUCGUGUACUUCCAUGUCUUUACCAUCCCAGCCUAUAUGUUUCUAAUAAUUUAUAAAACUUUUUAAAUCGUCACUCUCAAUAUGCUAUUUGCUCCUGACCGGAAAUCUAAUGGGAAUUAAAUGUAAAGUGGAACUAAUUUUUGUUCUUAUCAUUGGGCAGAACCCCAGUGCUCGAGAGGGCCUCAAAAGCAGUUUGGGAGUUGAUUCUGGACAGCAAUGGGCUAGGGAAGGAAAUAAGUGAAACAGUUGAAAGAGUCUUUUGUAAAUUAAGUGGCAGGGAACCUCCACUGUUUCCUUAUUCAAACGAUAUUGUUCUUCAGCCUGAAAAAGCAGUCGGAAACGAGAAAAGAAAAGGGAAAGAAAAAGAGUAUGAAAAUGAAAGGGAGAACUCUAAAUCCAAAUCAAAGAAACGAAGUUUCAACGACAUGAAUGCCGAGGGAAAUGCCACUGACAUCACUGGAAACUCUAGCGAUACUCCAGCUGCACUGCAUGAUGCUAAUUAAUCUCCCACAACUAGCAUGAAGAUAUGUUUGUGUGUCAACAGAGACCAUUGUCUCAGAACCUGGUGUGGUCUUUUGACUGGGAAAAAAAAUCACCCUUCAAUUUCCAGUGAUAGAACAAUACAAUAGUGCUAGGUUUAGUUCAUUUCCUUGUUAUCCCCAGGCCUGUUUCUUUUGGCUUUGCUUAUUUACUCUUGUUUUUUAGCAUCUUUUAGGCUCUUGCACAAUAGAAAUCCUCUUGACGCUCAAUUAUUUCUUGUCUUUGUUGUACUUGGAUAGAUUGCCCUCAAAAGAGACCAUUUGCACUUAGAAGCAGUCGAGUUUAUAGCUGCGAAUUUUCAAAACAGAUAUGGAGGAAGGUAUUGGCAGCUUGUGAUAGUGAAAGAAGUGUGGAAUCUUGGCAGGAUGAACUAAAUUGGGCAGUAUAUACCAGAUUUGGCAUUUGAGAAACAGGAGACUCCAUGGUGCAAACGACUUAGCAUGACGUCGUUUAACAUAGUUGUGAAGAUUCUUCUUUUUUUUUUAGAUAAAAAGACCCGAAGAUUCUUAUGAGUAAGAAUAAGGGGAUGUUUGCUUCGUGAUUUUUUGAUACAAUAUCUAAAAUUAUCCAUAAUUUCUCGCAACUCUUAAAUAAGGAUAAAAGAAUUAUUAUUAUUAUGUGGAUCCCGCGUUAGUUGUUAAAUUUUUUAAAUUUAAAAAAAAUAUUUUUAAAAAAUUAAAAAAAUAUAAAAAAUAUUUUUAAAAUUUAAAAUAUAAUUAAUUGCUAACGUAUAUGCUAUGUCAUCUAAGUUAACAAAAGUUAAUUUUUUUUAUCUAUAAAAAUGAUUUGACAAACAUACAAAUCAAGAGUUAAAAGAAGUGAAAAAUUAAAUAAAAAAUUAAAAUGACUUUUUUAUAAAGUUGAAGGGCCAAAAAAAGUCAUUAUGUCUUACAAGAAUAUAUUAAACUUUUCUUGUAGCGACUUCACAUAUGCACCUUCACAAAGCUACGAGUUCGAAUGAGUAGAAUCCUACUUUUUAUCAGAAAUGCUGGCCCUGAUUUGAGAAAGAUGUGUUUAAACAGUACUGUGAUUGGUUGUAUUCAGCCGAGUUCCCAACCUUGCUUAAUGAUGCUAUUUUAGUGCUUAUUCCGAAGACGAAAUGGUCAAAUUGUAUGAAGGAUUUGCUCCCAUAGCCUUAUGUAACGUGCGUUAUAAGUUGGUGGCUAAAGUUUUGGCUAAUCAUCUCAAAAAGCUUUUGUCCGAUCCGAUUUUGUCUACGCAGUUUGCUUUUAUACUUGGGCGCUUAGUUACGGACAACGUUAUAGUGGCAUUUGAGAUAUAGCAUCAUAUGAAUAAGGGGCGCGGCAGGCUAAGGGAGGUUGCCUUGAAAAUUGACAUUAGCAAGGCCUAUGAUCACGUUGAUUGGGAUUUUCUGAAGUUUAUUCUGAUGAAAUUCAGGUUUGGUUUGCACUGGGUUAAUUGGCUAAUGAUGUGUGCCACUACUGUUAAGUACACUAUUAGGGAUGAGUGCCGCUAUCUCACUACUUGUUUAUUCUAUGGGCUAAAGGCUUCAGUUGUCUGUUCAGACAAGCUGAGCUUCGAGGUGAUCUGCAUGGUAUUCCGAUCUGUCGCAAUAAUUUCUUCUUUUUUUCAGGCUCAAGAGUCUGAGCGUCGUGAAACUUAUUCUUGCCAACUAUGAAGCCGCCUCGGGUCAGGCAGUUAAAUUCCAAAACUCUGGUGUCUUGUUCAGCUCGAAUACCUCUUUGGUUGAUAGACAAAUGAUGCAUUCGUUGUUGGGGGUUGAGGCUCUAAUCAAGCAUGGUCGAUAUUUGGGUCUCCUAUCACUUAUUGGCCAUAACAGGAAGCAAGUGUUCUGUUUUAUCUGAGACAGGCUCUAUAAGAAUAGGCUUCUUUCCCAGGCAAGCAAGGAGGUUAUGCUUAAAUCGAUAGCGCAGGCACUCCUGGUUUACUGUCUAAGUGUCUCCCUCCUUCCUCUUAGUACGUGUGGCGAUCUUCAGAGGAUGAUGAACUCGUAUUGGUGGAGCUCGAAAUCGAGUAACUCUAUGUGACUUCACUAGGCUUCGCGGGAGCGGCUUUAUGUUGCGAAAAAGUUUGGUGGCAUUGGCUUUGGGAAGCUUCAUUGCUUUGACUUAGUGAUGCUUGGAAGCAAGGGUGGAGGAUUCUCUCUAACCCGGACUCUCUCCUUAGUUGACUCUUCAAAGCUAGAUACUUUUUGGGGGAUGAGUUUUUAACUUCUUCUGGAGGUGACCCCUCAUUUGUUUAUAGAAGCAUUUGCCUGGCCAAGUCAUUGCUUUUGAGAGGCUCUAUUUGGUGGUAUGGGGAUGGGCGUACCAUCACGGUUUUUAAUGACCCUUGGCUUGAUGAUGACUCGAACUUCUUUGUUGUUUCUAGUCCCUUCGACAGCAUGGAAAAUUUGACUGUGCGCGAUUUGCUCCAAAGUGGAUCAUAAAGCUUGGGAUCGAAGUUUGAUAGAAGGUUUGUUGGUUCCCCAUGAUGCUCGUCGAAUCUUGUAGCUGCCGAUUAGCUUGGCUCAGCCCCCUGAUAAGCUCAUUUGGCAUUUUGACAAGGGUGACAUUUACACGGUGAAGCUUGGGUAUCGGCUCACCUUCGAUUCGCUGGCCAAUUCUUAUAGUAACAGAGUCGAGGGACACUGGCUGAAGCUUUGAAAUUCUGCUUUCCACCGAAGGUGGUGGAGUUUUUGUGGUGAUGCCUGCAUAAUUUUCUUCCAUUUCAUUGUCGGCUUACCAAAUGGGGUUGCACUGUACCGCUCCAAUGUCCGUGGUGCGGGGAGUAUGAGGACAUGGAUCAUAUUUUUUUGCAGUGCCCGUUUGCAGUUCAGGUGUGGGCUUUAACUGGUAUUGGUCCUUCUUCGCUAUCUUUUUCUCCGUGGUUAUCGUCCCUAUUGCUUAAUGUCGACGACACCCUCUAGGAAAGAACUGUUGACUUUAUGAAGCUUAUGGUAUUAUUGAAACCUAUUUCUUUGGCGUGCGGGUGAUGCCUCGGCAUGUUGUGUUGUGGCGUUCGCUUCUCGUUUUAUCCAGGACUGGGAUGCUUCUAAUGCUGCUCACCGUCGGGUUUUGCUCGAGACUUUGCCGCUAGGCUCUACUGCAGCUGUUGCAUGGGUUCGGCCUCCCCCGAGCUUCCUAAAGUGCAACGUUGAUGCAAUACUACUUAUGGAUCAUCAGCGUACGGGUUGAGUAGUGGUUCGUGAUGAGAACGGAGCUUUCAUAUAGGUGGUGUUCGACCAGCUCUUAGCAGCGAUUAGGCCCUAUGUAGCUGAGGCAAGUACAAGAAGCUCUCUCAUGGACCAAGUCGGCAAGUAUGGAUAACAUUAUCUUCGAAUCUGAUUGUUAGAGGUGGUCUUUGAUUUGAACUCACGCAACCACUACACCUCUGAGUUCGGACUUUUGAUUGAGGGCUGACCAUAGCUGCAAUUGCAAUUUCAACAUCUAUCCUUUCAUUGGAUUCAUUAGAAUGCUAUAAAGUUACUCGCUGACUCAUUCAGAUAGCCUUAUUUCAAGCAAAUAUUCAUGUUUAUGAUGAUAUUCCUUUUUGUUUGUUAAAUUUUUUAAUGUUGAUCGCUACUGAUAAUACCCGUAAUGAGGGACUUUAAGUUUGGGUGUAUGGGGUGAGCCUAGUAAUUCAUACCCGUAAUGAGAGGCUUUAAGUUCGAGUGUAUGGAGUGAGCCUCUUGAUUCGAGUUUAGUCUUACUUUUUUAUUUUUAUAAUUUGACUUUAUUUUUUUUCUUUCUACUUUUCCUUAAUGAUAGUUACUUUUCUCUAAAAAAAAUACAUCAAACAAAAUUUCGAUUCAUUAGCUAUUUUUUUAUUUCCAUUUAAUUAAAAUGAACCAAAAUCCUUAAAAAAGAGUGUAAAAUUAUUAAUUUUUUUAUUAAGAUAAAAUAAGAUUAAUUAAGAAUUAGAGGGGAAUCAAAGUGUCAACUUCAAGGUCUCUUAGCUCAUUCUUCUCAUUUUACGAAUUAAACUAAACACUCUUGAAAUUCCUUAAACCCAGAGCCACAUCGAUUUAAAGAAAAGUCUAACGAUACUAAAUCCUUAGUCUUGAAAAUUUUUUAUAGUGUGACUUAUCUUACAAUUUAACUAUAACAUUGUUCUCAUAUUGGUAACAUUUUCUUUCAACUUAUUUGAUAAAAAGGGUUAAAUCAUUAUUUAGGGCCUGAAUUUGGUAAUUAGUUUCAUAUUGAGACUUGAACAUUUUUUUUACCCAAUUUAGACCUUAAACUUGGUAAUUAUUUCCACUUUAGGGUUUGAACUAGACCAUAGUUACCAUAUUGGGGCUUGAACUUUUUUGUCCAAGUUAGUCAAUGAACUUGGCAAUUUUUCUCAUAUUAAGACCUGGACUUGGCAAUUAUUUCCACAUUAGGACAUGAAUUUUAGGGCUUUCAAGAAAAUACUAGGGACUAACUUAGAAAAAAAAGUUCAAACUCUAAUAUAGGAACAAUUGCCUAAUUCCGGGCUUAACUUGGAUAAAACAAAGUUCAAGCCCCAACUUGAGAACAACUAUCAAGUUUUGGGCUUAACUCCAAAAAUAAGUUUAGACCCCAAUGUAAUAAUAGUUACCAAAUUUUGACCCCAAAUGUGAUUUAACCAUUAAAAAAAAUCCAAAACAAAGAACUGCCUUGAAGAGUAUAUUGCAAAACGAUGCGUUUCCGUAGCUGGAGUCUCCCAAUGUUCAAUAUUAGUACUUUAUCCCCAUGGGAGAAACAGAUAAAUCAUCGUUUAUUUUGCAGAUUGACAACAAAGAGAACGACAAGGUACGAUGAAACCCUUUCUAACUGUCUAAUCUCCAUCUUCUGCUAUUCAACUUCUGUUUCUUUUUUCAAGUACCCAACUUUUAUUUUUGCUUAACGAAGCCCUAAGAGUUUUUUUGUUUUUGCUUUUUUUUUCAGGCAUUGAAUUGAAGGGAUUCAAUCUGUCAAUUUUAGUUUUUGGUGAAAAUUAAAAUAUGGGGUCAUCAUCAGUAAUAACCCCAGAAGAUGUGUUGGAGUCAUUGAUGAAUGAUGGAACCAUUGAUGCUCUCAGGUUGAAGAUUAUAAAUCAGCUAAAAGCCAAUGUUAGUCUCUCAAUAAUCUCUUUUAUAGUCAACCUGGUUUUAUCUGUGUGUUUUUUAUGUAAAAAUAGUUCCUUGAACGAUUUUCUGGGACAGUGCCCCUUGAUUUUGUGUAUUAUCAUGAAAUUUUGCAAUUUUACUGAUGUUAUUUAUUUGAGCUCGUUUGAUAAUAGCUUGAAUAUGAAUCUUUAUUCCUUGUUUGAAUGCAAUUAAGUCCUUUUGGUCUUUCUUUCUUUAUGAUGUUAUAAAAGAGAAAAUUUUGUUCUUUUUUGUGGGUACUGGUUAUAAUGUUAUAUGCUUAUCGUAUAAUCUCUAUAAAUGUUUGACUCCAUCAAGCUUCAAUGAUUUGUUUAUUAUAUUUAUUGUUCUGACUUGGUUAAAGAUGAUGAUUAACUUAAGUUUUUGGGUCUCCAUUGAAGUUGCUGAUAUUGAUUGUGUGCUUUGCUGACAUUACAUAAUUAAUUAAUAUUGUCUACAAAACCUACAUUCAUUGAAUUUGAAGAGUAAUGACUUAUAACACUUCCUCCAAUGUAUAUGAUAUCUGCAAUUUCUCUUUGCUAUAGGAGGAGCUGAAGAACACAACGAUCAAAAUGGCAGAGCAGAGUAAGGUCCU